CUACGGGCCGCAGCAGUGGGGAAUUUUGGACAAUGGAGGAAACUCUGAUCCAGGGAUACCGCGUGGGUGAUGAAGAUUUACGGAUUGUAAAGCCCUUUUAGUAGGGAAAAUAAUGAUGGUACCUACAGAAAAAGCAUCAGCUAACUCUGUGCCAGCAGUUGCGGUAAUACAGAGGAUGCGAGUGUUAUUCGGAAUCACUGGGCGUAAAGGGCGCGUAGGCGGUUAUUUAAGUCCGCAAUGAAAGACCGGGGCUCAACUUCGGUGCUGUUGUGGAUACUGUAUAACUAGAGAACGGAAGAGGUGAAUAGAAUUCCUGGUGGAGGGGUGAAAUUCUUAGAUAUCAGGAGGAAUGCCAGAGGCGAAAGCGGUUCACUGGGACGUUUCUGACGCUGAGGCGCGAAAGCGUGGGGAUCAAACAGGAUUAGAUACCCCCGUAGUC
rnacentral:rRNA from 1 species